rnacentral:rRNA from 1 species
UACGAGGGGGGCAAAUGUUGUUCGGAAUUACUGGGCGUAAAGGGCGCGUAGGCGGCCUUCUAAGUCGGACGUGAAAUCCCUCGGCUCAACCGAGGAACUGCGUCUGAUACUGGAAGGCUUGAAUCCGGGAGAGGGAUGUGGAAUUCCAGGUGUAGCGGUGAAAUGCGUAGAUAUCAAGAGGAACACCUGCGGCGAAGGCGGGUUGCUGGGCCGACACUGACGCUGAUGCGCGAAAGCUAGGGGAGCGAACGGG